UCAAGGCUGGGGAGGAAAAAGAUUUAGAAAACUGGGGAAUGAGUGCCACCGUCACCCCCAUCUGUCAGGCUCCAACUUGGAGUGACAGGUGGGGGGAGUGGGUGUGGGCUGAGUGCCAUGGAGUGAGGCUGGGCAUCUGGACCCCCCCAGCAGGCUCCAUUAGCCUGCACUGUCCCUGAGGGAAAGGCUGGGGCCGCAGAUGGGUGAUCUUCCCUCACCCUUCCUGCCGCCUGUGAGUUUGACCCUGAGUUGGAAAGAGCUGUCGGGUUUUUCCGGUCCGUGUCGGGUUUUCCUCCCCUUCCAUGCAGUACAACUCCCUUUCCAGCGAAGGUGGGGGUCGCUCUCUGUUACAGAUCCUGAGCCUUGCGUGGUCUGUUGGUCUGUCUCCCGGAGAGCUCCACUGCCAGCCUGCCAUGCUGGGGAGCUCUCGCUCCUUUGAGCCCCUCCUGCAGUCCUCCUGGGCGCGGCUCCCGGAAUGACCAAAUCCCCUGAGCAUCCACCGCGCGCCCAGGGCACUGAAGCAGACGUAUACCCUGCAUACUCCAUGCAGCCAAUGCCGGCUGUGCCUCCUGACUUCCAGGCCUCCGAGGACAUGAGUGCAGUCCCUGUCCCAUCUCUGAUACAGGGCUGCUGUGGUCCGACAGGCCGGUGACCCAUCCCUGCUGAGGGCUGUGGUCACUGUCACCCAUUCGGAGAUCUUGGGUGUCCCAGCGAGGCCCUAUCACUUCCUGUGGCUUGUUAUUAAACACGUUGGUCAUGCAA